UGGGGAAUAUUGCACAAUGGGGGAAACCCUGAUGCAGCGACGCCGCGUGAACGAAGAAGGUAUUCGUAUCGUAAAGUUCUGUCCUAUGGGAAGAUAAUGACAGUACCAUAGAAGAAAGCUCCGGCGAAAUACGUGCCAGCAGCCGCGGUAAUACGUAUGGAGCGAGCGUUGUCCGGAAUUAUUGGGCGUAAAGGGUACGCAGGCGGUUUAAUAAGUCGAAUGUUAAAGAUCGGGGCUCAACCCCGCAAAGCAUUGGAAACUGAUAAACUUGAGUAGUGGAGAGGAAAGUGGAAUUCCUAGUGUAGUGGUGAAAUACGUAGAUAUUAGGAGGAAUACCAGUAGCGAAGGCGACUUUCUGGACACAAACUGACGCUGAGGUACGAAAGCGUGGGGAGCAAACAGG
rnacentral:rRNA from 1 species